ACACGUAAUUUUAUACUCCCCAAGAAACAAACCCCCCAGUUGUAGUUGCUCCCUGCAGUCUUAUUAGUGGCGACGAGGAAAAAACGAACCGACGGAUCACCGCAGCUACUGGAUCGUAUCAGCCUUUGCCGACGGAAAACCAACAGGAGACGGCGGCUGUUGUUUCGAUUGCCGACAUAGGGGCAUCUGCACAGUGGACCGUCUGUGCGGCGGUAGUGGUUUAAUUUUGAUCUUUUCCUUUUCGCUCCGCUGGAAGGUUUUCUGGUUCCUUUACCUGGGAAUCGUGGUGAGAGUAAAGGAUUCAUCGGAUCAUGGUUGGAAACGAGGCGACAACAACGUCCCAUCCUAAUCAGAUCAGAAUCCUUGAGGAUGGACAUGGAGUUACGGGUCUGUCGAAGCGGGUAAUGCGAGUGGUCGAGACUGGUCGUCCGCUAUCGACUGUCGAGAUUCCCGAGAAUGGUCGACCGUUGUGGACUGCAGCAGAACGCAUGAUGAAACCCGUACUGAACGAGAGCGAUAUCUGGCAAUUACCAGGUCAUAGCAAUGGAAGCGCCUCGAACCAACGCAAGUUAUUGAAGAAUAAGAAUAGGAAAAGAAAAUUUCCGUCAGAGCCGGUAGAGCUUUCUGGCCUACCUAGGCGUUCAAUAAGAAUUAGAAAGGUUAGAUUUAAAAGUGAAUAUCGUUGUCAUUGGAUUCUUGAAUUUUUGUUCAGUCUGAGUCUCUUUUCCUUCUGAAGGGGGAAGAGCUGAUGUAUACUGUAAAUUUGAUUACAAACAUCUUUCCGUGUAUUCAGCAGUUCAGCAAGCGCAGCGCGCAACACUGCUGUUAUUUACUUAAUAAAUAAAUCAGAGCCAGGAGCUCUCUUCUGUUUUACACCUCGAACGAACUACACGUAAUUUUAUACUCCCCAAGAAACAAACCCCCCAGUUGUAGUUGCUCCCUGCAGUCUUAUUACCGUCGUGCGGGGCUUCUUUUGACAAAUCAGGGGCCACUAUGGACAUUUUAAAACAAGAAUUACAACGAAAAUUAUUAUAAAACUGUCAUUAUUGUUGGAAAUAAAUUUAGUGUGCAACCGUCACCCCUCGCAUUCGAGACUACUUUUAUGCUACGGCCAAAUAGACACACUAUGGUUGUUGUGUUGUCGAAUUUAUUGUUUAUAAUUUUGUUUGUGAAUAAAUCGUAUUCGUUCGUGUGAAGUCCAA